UCUUCUGUGUCUGCUAUGACUACUCCUGCUCUUAAAUGUGUGGCUUUGACCUGGGCUUGUUUUAGAUCUUGUCUGCUGACCUUGGCCCUGAAACCUGAUUUGGACUCUGAUCCUUGGUAUUGACCCGAGCCUGGAACUUGACUAUGAACCUCUCUGAGACUCAGCCUCAGAUAAUGGGCCAGCUUCUUCCAAGAUCUCACAGAGAGAUAAGCAGAAAGCAUGCCAAACCAUCAGUGGGGUGUCUGGACGAUCAAGGAGCUCUCAAGGAAGCAAGACCAUUGCAGAGAAGCUAAAUGAAUUCUUUGCAUCAGUCUUCACUGCAGAGAAUGUGCGGAAGAUUUCCA